GAUGAACGCUGGCGGCGUGCCUAACACAUGCAAGUCGAACGGAAAGACCCUGAGUUUGUGCGUUUCUCGAUUGCCGAACGCGUGUGUAUCACGUGUGUAUCCCGCCCUUGUCUUUCGGAUAACUUCACGAAACUGCGGCUAAUAUACGAUAGGAUCUCCUGCAGCGUGGGGGGCAUUGGAAAGAUACGGCUGUUGGGUAUGGACUCGCGGCUUAUCAGCUGGUUGGUGGGGUAGUUGCGUACCCAGCCUUUGACGGGUAGCCGGCCUGGGAGGGUGAACGGCCACAUUGGGACUGCGAGACGGCCCAGACUCCUACGGGAGGCAGCAGUGGGGAAUAUUGCACAAUGGGCGGAAGCCUGAUGCAACAACGCCGCGUGCGGGAUGACGGCCUUUGGGUUGUAAACAGCUUUCGCCUGUGACGAAGCGUGAGUGACGGUAAUGGGUAAAGAAGCACCGGCUAACUACGUG
rnacentral:rRNA from 1 species